AUGAGCUCCAGCUCCAACACCAAUCCCUUCCCUUGGGGUAUUGGCUGGAGGGCCUUCUUCCUCGGGUGGUUGGCUAGUGGCCGCAUCAAGUUCGAGAACACCAUGGAGGUGUGCUCGAACUUUGGCUCCAUGCGUGAGAUACAGAAUGAAUCUGAUGCCGUGCUCAUGAGGGCCACUUCACAAGAGUUAAAGACGGUGAUUCCUGACCCAGCGAAGGGCGCGAUGGCAGUCGACAUCAUUCUUUGGGCCAUGAAUCAGGCCGUCUCCGGCGAUGCUAAACAGAGGAAGAAGUGGUCCAAGUACAAGAACUGUUGGGCUCCUAAUGACCGUCGGUGUACUGGAAGAGGGCAAUCGUACCGCCGGCGGUCAUCGGUGGGGAGCCCAAGAAGGAGGAAGAACCGGUGCAGAUGCCAAUGA
rnacentral:rRNA from 1 species